ensembl:snRNA U6 U6 spliceosomal RNA
GUGCUCGCUUCGGUAGCACAUAUACUAAAAUUGUAAUGAUACAGAGAAGAAUAGCAUGGCCCCUGCGCAAGGAUGACACGCAAACUCGUGAAGUGUUCCAUAUUUUA